UACGAGGGGGGCGAGCGUUGUUCGGAAUUAUUGGGCGUAAAGGGUGCGUAGGCGGUUUGGUAAGUCUCUUGUGAAAUCUCUGGGCUCAACUCAGAGUCUGCAAGGGAAACUGCCGGGCUUGAGUGUGGGAGAGGUGAGUGGAAUUUCCGGUGUAGCGGUGAAAUGCGUAGAUAUCGGAAGGAACACCUGUGGCGAAAGCGGCUCACUGGACCACAACUGACGCUGAUGCACGAAAGCUAGGGGAGCAAACAGG
rnacentral:rRNA from 1 species